rfam:Marvinbryantia formatexigens DSM 14469 B_formatexigens-1.0.1_Cont12.1, whole genome shotgun sequence.
GUAUUCUUUCUAAGACUGCCGAAGACAGCAGGUGCCGCAAGGCAUAAGGUUCAAAACGCCUGCCGAGGAGUAAAGAAUUUCGAUAGAAAUGAUUUAUGAACCUCUCUGUCACGCAGAGAGGUUUUUUGGCGGUACA